AAAAGAUUAGUUAAAUUAACCUUAGUAUGUCACGCUAAAAUUAGGAGUUCAAUCUCCUAUCUUUUA
rnacentral:tRNA from 1 species